rnacentral:rRNA from 1 species
GGCGAACGCUGGCGGCGUGCUUAACACAUGCAAGUCGAACGGAAAGGCCCUGCUUUUGUGGGGUGCUCGAGUGGCGAACGGGUGAGUAACACGUGAGUAACCUGCCCUUGACUUUGGGAUAACUUCAGGAAACUGGGGCUAAUACCGGAUAGGAGCUCCUGCUGCAUGGUGGGGGUUGGAAAGUUUCGGCGGUUGGGGAUGGACUCGCGGCUUAUCAGCUUGUUGGUUGGGUAGUGGCUUACCAAGGCUUUGACGGGUAGCCGGCCUGAGAGGGUGACCGGCCACAUUGGGACUGAGAUACGGCCCAGACUCCUACGGGAGGCAGCAGUGGGGAAUAUUGCACAAUGGGCGGAAGCCUGAUGCAGCAACGCCGCGUGCGGGAUGACGGCCUUCGGGUUGUAAACCGCUUUCGCCUGUGACGAAGCGUGAGUGACGGUAAUGGGUAAAGAAGCACCGGCUAACUACGUG